rnacentral:rRNA from 1 species
GAUUAACGCUAGCGGCAGGCCUAAUACAUGCAAGUCGAGGGGCAGCAGGGUGUAGCAAUACAUCGCUGGCGACCGGCGCACGGGUGCGUAACACGUAUGCAACCUACCUUUAACUGGGGAAUAGCCCUCCGAAAGGAGGAUUAACACCGCAUAACAUCACGAGACGGCAUCGCCUUGUGAUCAAACCUCCGGGGGUUAAAGAUGGGCAUGCGUCCGAUUAGCUAGUUGGCGGGGUAACGGCCCACCAAGGCGACGAUCAGUAGCUGGUCUGAGAGGAUGGUCAGCCACACUGGGACUGAGAUACGGCCCAGACUCCUACGGGAGGCAGCAGUCGAGAGGCUUCGGCAAUGGGGGAAACCCUGACCGAGCGACGCCGCGUGAGCGAUGAAGCCCUUCGGGGUGUAAAGCUCUUUUGUCAGGGAGAAACGCUUUGGGCUAAUACCCCGACGGUAAUGACGGUACCUGAAGAAUAAGCACCGGCUAACUACGUGCCAGCAGCCGCGGU